rnacentral:rRNA from 1 species
ACGCGUGGAACCUUACCAGGUCUUGACAUCCUCUGACACUCCUAGAGAUAGGACGUUCCCCUUCGGGGGACAGAGUGACAGGUGGUGCAUGGUUGUCGUCAGCUCGUGUCGUGAGAUGUUGGGUUAAGUCCCGCAACGAGCGCAACCCUUGAUCUUAGUUGCCAGCAUUCAGUUGGGCACUCUAAGGUGACUGCCGGUGACAAACCGGAGGAAGGUGGGGAUGACGUCAAAUCAUCAUGCCCCUUAUGACCUGGGCUACACACGUGCUACAAUGGACGGUACAAACGGUUGCCAACCCGCGAGGGGGAGCUAAUCCGAUAAAACCGUUCUCAGUUCGGAUUGUAGGCUGCAACUCGCCUACAUGAAGCCGGAAUCGCUAGUAAUCGCGGAUCAGCAUGCCGCGGUGAAUACGUUCCCGGGCCUUGCACACACCGCCCGU